rnacentral:misc_RNA from 1 species
CUGCGCCCCAGUGGCCAUGUUGAGUGUUUGUGUCGCAGGCGAAUUCAGGGAAGCCUUGCUCUUUUCCUGAAUUAAACAGCUGGAUGAAGCUGGACUUUGCCUCCCAAGCACGUUGGUCUGACCUACGCUGAUGCCUGCUGCUGCUGACACUCACCAGCAUCUUGAGCAUCAUAUGGCCUAUCCUCAGCACCAGGGAAAGACAGGGCCUCCACGGCCGGGCCCUCAUCAUGGACCUCAACAUCAUUCGUCACAUCCACCCUCUGGCUCAUAUGGCCCACAGUCAGGCCAUGCUAAUCAUGUGGGUUAUAACCAUCAUGGGCCAAUGGGGCAACAUGCCAUACCAGGACAACGAGGUCAGCCUGGACAGCAUGGUCCUCCUCAGCAGAAUGGACCUCAAAUAAACCUGGGUCAACACAGGUCUCAAAUAGGGUCAGCUGCUCAACUUGGAGCUGGACAGCAUGGACAUCCAGGGCCACCAGGACCCAUGGGACCAGCUGGGCAACAUGUCCCACUAAGUUCUCAUGGAAGUUCAUUGUUACAUGGUCCUCAAGGGAAUCAUGGCCCUCAUGGAGUACCAAAUCAGAGAGUUCCUCCUGGAUCUCACAUCCAGGCAGUGCCACCAGCCAUACAGCACAAAGGCCCUGCACCACAUGGUCAAUAUGGUGCACAUAUCCCACACUCCACCAACAUUGGUAGUACACGUGGCCAUCUGGAUGGACCUGGCAAUGAAGUGAGGCAACCUCCAGCAUAUCCAGAACCUCCACGUUACCCAGGUCCUCAGAAUGUGCAUGAGGAUAUGGACAAACACAUGAGCCAAGUGCCAACUCACAAUGGACAGCCAGCACAGACAAUUAAGCAAUACUCUGGAGCCCAGGGGUCUGGUGGAGGGGGAGGAAUGAAUGGGGGAGGGGCUUCAAUGAACAGUGGUGAUCUAGGAAGGCUAGAGGAGGAACUUAGUCAACUCAGUAGAAAGGAUCUAGUGGCAAGGACAAUGCGGGCAGAAGGGGAAGCAAGAGAGCUCCAGCAUUCAAUUCAUGUACAGGCAGGGGAGCUGAGGCACCUGCGGGAGAAUCAACAACGACUCACUGAUGACAACCAGGAACUGCGUGACUUGUGUUGUUUCCUGGAUGAUGAUCGACAGAAGGGACGGAAACUUGCCAGAGAAUGGCAGAGAUUUGGCCGCUAUACUGCCUCUGUUAUGAGACAGGAAGUCACAGCCUACCAGAAUAAAUUACGGGAACUAGAUACCAAACAACAGGAGCUCAUUAAAGAUAAUUUAGAGUUAAAGGAAUUGUGUUUAUACCUUGAUGAAGAAAGAAACAAUGCUGCUUGCAGUCAUUGUGGACAUCCCCUCAUCACGCGAGAUGAUGGGGAUGGAUCGUCAUCUUCAACCAAUGCUGAUGAACCCUCAGGGCCCCCACAGUCCACUUCAGAUUCAGCCCCAACCCAGAGUCAGUCUUCAGAAAUUCCACUGGCACGUUCAUCCUCCAGAGAGAGACUAUUAGAAGAUACCCUAUCCCGUCAGAGAUCUCCAAUGAAUGAACAAGUAAUGUCUUAUAUAAGGUCAUUAGAAGCAAGAGUAAUGAUGUUAGAGACAGAAAAGCAACAGCUUGGUGAGGAACUUUCAAAGAUGGAUCGGAUCCACCCUGAAGGAGAAGGUUUGGAGUCACAGCUUCCCACUAAAGAGAAAUCUGUUGGUUCUCGCCCACCUCAGCCCCCACCUUAUUCACUCUCGCAUCAUCUACGUGCAGUUGGGUUAGGACUCACCAACAGAACUCCAUUAGGCCCAGGUUCAGCAGAAAGUGAUGAUGAGCUCCUGGAUGGACCUCCACCACCGUUGGUGUCCCGUCCAACAGCAGUUGCAGCUGCUAUGAGAGUUUUGGAAGUGCAGGAACAGCUAGAGGGUGCUUCACAUCCUCCUGCAGCCCCUCCUCCCUCACAAGGUCCCCCACCACCACCACAUUCCUCCAACACAGGAAGCCAACUCAGUGCCCAGGAUGCAGCUUUGGCAGAUGGGGAAAAGGCACUUCUCAGGCAAAUGUGCAAUGUUGUGUGGAAGAAGCUAGAAGAGGUACCAAGUCAGCACAGAUAACAAGAUGUGCAGUGCAUCCUUGCCUCUCCAUUUUCUCAUUUCCUUUCCUUCUUUCUCUGCAGUUGUCUCACCCUACUCUCUCCUUAUCUCCUCCCCUUGCUCUUCCCUCUCAUCUCCUUCCUGCUUCUCCCUUUCCUUUGCCUUGCCCCUUUCUACACUUUACUGCAUUCUCACCCCAAUCCUUUUUUAUUCUUCUGUCUUAUUUCUUUCUGUGAACCAUUUGUAAUAUUCCAGUGAUGGAAAAUGAAGUGCCAGGUGUAUGAAACAGGAUAGCAGAAGAAGCAACUGCAGGCAGUGCUUGUGUACAAUUGAAAGUUAUUUACAAAAGUAACUAUGAAAGUGAGGUGUUCUGUAAACUCUUUUUCUUGGAUUCUUUGUCUUAGUUGCUGUUUGCAGCAAAAAGGGAAAGUCAGCUAGAUUUACAAGGAUAAUAUAAGAGCACUACCCAGGUCUUGACUUUUUCUAGUUUUGUUUUACACUUAUCUAAAACUGAGAAUGUAUUUUGAUCUAUGAAUAGCACCAAUCUUUGAUGUACAUGCUGAAAUAGGUCUUUUCAAAUUCACAGAAGAGUUGGGUCCAUGUCUUGCCAAAGAAAAUAUAUUAGAUUUUUUUUUUUUUAGAUCUUGAAACAUUUUUAUAGGGAACUAAUCCAUUUGAGUCAGGCAUUGCUAACCUAGUACAGACAGUUAGGAAAAUUAGUAUAAUAUAGGAAUACAGUAUAGAACUUAAGUAGAACUUAAACACCACAUGAUAUAUCUUGGCCCAAAUCUUUGAUUAUAGUAUAAACUAUUAUUUUCCUUUUGUCCAUUGGUUCUGAAAUAUACUGAACCACAAAAGAUGUAUGGUGGGAGUUUGGUUUGCUGUUAUCUUAUUUAAUCAGAUAUUUUUUUUUCCCCUUUUACAAAUUGAGUUACGACCAUUCAUACUUGACCGUGGUAGAAUGUCCUUUUUUGCUGAAGAUAGCUCAAGCAGGCUUAUGGAAACUUUGUCCAGCCUUCACAACUUUUGAUUCUCACUCUUCAGGUGCCAAAGAAAGCUGAGUACAUGUGUACAUGCACAUGUGCAUAGGGACAUGUGAGGGUUUGUGGACAUACCCAUGUCAUAUGUGAGCUUGUGUAUGGCAUGCAUGUGGGCAUGUGCAUUUUUAUAUGUUUCUUUGUGUGGUUAAGUGCAAGUGUAAUUGUGACUGUGUGUGUGCUUUCACAUUCAAAUGUGUAUGAUUGUACCUGCCAUUAUGUUUUUAAACAGAUUCAAGUGAUGUGUUGAGGGUUAGGAUUUAUAUAGAUAUGUGCAUGCCCUCCCUCUCCCCACAAAA